rnacentral:tRNA from 1 species
UAUUUUUUAUUAUUGGUAUUUUUGUUUGUUAUCUUUGUUUUUUUAUUUGGAGUUUUGUGAACC